ACCACCGGAAGUGGUGAAGCGCGGCGCCGGCGGAAGUGGUAAAACGCAGCGCCGGCGGAGACAGAGGGCAAGUCCGGCGCCGGUGCUGGGAGAGCGAAAGAAAUUAGCUUCCCUCCGCCCGUCCCGGGGCGUUCGCUGAGGUAGGGCGUCGCGACAGAAGGCCUUUGCAAGCUUGGGGGCGGUCCGCACCUCCGCUCUUACCAGCCUGGCGGGAAAAAGCCGGCCUUCGGUAUGCGACCGAGUGACAGAGAAUAACAAUUUAGAGGGCCAAGAUGUCCAGCCUGAGGAUAUUUGUAGUGAACCAUAAGAAUAUAUGCAGCUUGCACAUUAAUAAUACUUGUUGCUACAAAAUAAGAGCAAGUCUAAAAAGAUUAAAGCCACAUGUGCCUCUUGGAAGAAAUUACAGUUCCCUCCCAGGUUUAAUAGGAAAUGAUAUCAAAUCCCUUCAUUCCAUCAUCAAUCCUCCCGUUGCUAAAAUCCGUAAUAUUGGAAUCAUGGCUCAUAUAGAUGCAGGCAAAACUACCACCACAGAAAGAAUACUGUAUUAUUCUGGAUACACAAGAUCACUGGGAGAUGUUGAUGAUGGAGACACAGUGACAGAUUUCAUGGCUCAAGAGCGAGAACGAGGCAUAACUAUUCAAUCAGCUGCUGUUACAUUUGAUUGGAAGGGCUAUAGAAUCAAUCUAAUUGAUACACCAGGUCACGUGGACUUUACUUUGGAGGUUGAGCGCUGCCUAAGAGUGUUGGAUGGUGCCGUGGCUGUGUUUGAUGCCUCUGCUGGUGUAGAGGCACAAACUCUCACAGUGUGGAGGCAAGCUGAUAAACACAAGAUACCUCGAAUCUGUUUUUUAAACAAGAUGGACAAAAUUGGAGCAAGUUUUAACUAUGCAGUUGAAAGCAUCAGAGAGAAGUUGAAGGCAAAGCCUUUGCUUUUACAGUUACCAAUUGGUGAAGCCAAAACUUUCAAAGGAGUGGUGGAUGUAGUAUGUAAAGAGAAACUUAUUUGGAGUCCCAAAUCAGAUGAUGGAAAAGACUUUGAGAGAAAACCCCUCUUGGAAAUGAGUGAUCCUAAAUUGCUGAAGGAGACAACGGAAGCAAGGAAUGCCUUAAUUGAACAAGUUGCAGAUUUGGAUGAUGAAUUUGCUGACUUGGUUCUAGGCAAAUUUAGUGAAAAUUUUGAUUUGCUACCAGCUGAAAAGCUACAAACUGCUAUACGCAGAGUAACACUGGCUCAGACAGCAGUGCCUGUACUUUGUGGAAGUGCCCUGAAAAACAAAGGCGUCCAGCCCUUGUUAGAUGCUAUUACCAUGUACUUGCCUUCACCUGAAGAGCGCAACUAUGAAUUUCUGCAGUGGUACAAGGGUGACUUAUGUGCACUGGCAUUUAAAGUUCUCCAUGACAGGCAGCGAGGACCACUGGUUUUUAUGCGCAUUUACUCAGGCAUGAUAAAACCCCAGUUGGCUGUCCAUAAUAUUAAUGGAAACUGCACGGAGAGAAUAAGUCGUCUGCUUUUGCCAUUUGCUGACCAACAUAUAGAAAUCCCUUCACUGACUGCUGGUAACAUUGCUUUGACUGUUGGGCUUAAACAUACUUCCACUGGAGACACCAUUGUCUCAUCCAAGUCCAGCGCGUUAGCUGCAGCUCGUCGAGCCGAAAGGGAGGGAGGAAAGAAGCAUAGCCAGAACAGUGAAGCAGAGAGGCUUUUACUGGCUGGGGUGGAGAUUCCAGAACCUGUUUUCUUCUGUACCAUAGAACCACCUUCAGUGGCUAAACAGCCAGAUUUGGAUCAUGCAUUGAAAUGCCUUCAGCGUGAAGAUCCCAGUUUGAAAGCGAAGCUAGAUCCUGACUCUGGACAAACUGUCCUUUGUGGUAUGGGAGAGUUACAUAUUGAGAUUAUUCACGACCGAAUCAAGAGGGAAUAUGGACUGGAAACCUACCUAGGGCCUCUCCAGGUGGCAUACCGAGAGACCAUCCUAAAUUCAGUUCGUGCCACAGAUACCUUAGAUAGAACUUUAGGAGACAGACGGCAUCUUGUGACUGUAGACCUGGAAGCAAAGCCAGCCGAGACUUCAUCUCUUCUGCCAGUUAUCAAGUUUGCAGAAAGUGUUGGUGAAGACCUUUCACAGGCCUCACGAGAGGCUGUUGAAAAUGGAAUUCACAGUGCAUGCGUCCAAGGACCAUUGCUUGGAUCCCCAGUUCAAGACGUGGCAAUUACUUUACAUUCACUGGUAAUUCAUCCCGGUACCUCUGCAGCUAUGAUUUCUGCCUGUGUCUCCAGAUGCAUACAGAAGGCUCUGAAGAAAGCUGAUAAGCAAAUUUUGGAGCCACUGAUGAAUCUCGAGGUUACAGUGACUAGAGAUUACCUCAGCCCUGUCCUAGCAGAUCUGGCACAAAGAAGAGGGAACAUUCAGGAAAUCCAGACUCGUCAGGACAACAAAGUUGUUAUUGGAUUUGUUCCCCUAGCAGAAAUUAUGGGUUAUUCAACUGUGCUUCGAACGCUAACAUCAGGCUCAGCUACUUUUGCCUUAGAACUGUCUAAUUACCAAGCCAUGAAUCCUCAAGACCAAAGUACGCUGCUCGGCCGGAGAAGGGGCUUGUCCUAAGUGCGUAAGGUCCUUGGACAGAAACCACCUACUUCAUUUUCAGUAAGAACAAUUUAAAAGGAUACUUUAUGGAAUUAGCAGCAUGCUUUGAUGGUGAAGGAACAUACUUCAGAGUACUUCAGUUUGUGAUUAACAAACAAUGAGACGGCAGGGGAGGAGGGGAGACAGGAGAGAUGAGGAGGAGGCGCUAGAGAAUGAAGCAGAUGGAAGAAAUGAAACAAAUACCAUCAUCCCUGGUCUCCUUGUACAGCUUGUGCCUAACAGAAGUUUAAAUGGAAAGGUAAGCUAAUUUUCCCUUAAUGUUGGGGAAAGCUUCAUUAGGGUUCCUUCCAUCCAAAAUGUUAGAGUAUUAAGUCUCUCCUAUCUGAAUCAAAUGCAGUCUUCAUACUUACCUUAUCUUUAUUAUCAAAAACCUCUUGCCAGACUAUGGAUCUCUUGCCCAUGGUUGAAACCAUAUCCAAAAGCCUACCAUUGAGAAAAUUACACAGUUAUUUCAGAUCACAAGCUUACCAAUAAGUGUAGAGUGCACGUUUUAUACCAAGGACUACAACAUUGAGAGGUGCUUUUCAAUACAGCACAGCUUUACAGCAGAACUAGCAAAAGUUGGGUGGUGGCCCACACGGUUCCCUCUUCUAGCAUGUGGCUCAGAGCCUGACACAGCAGAGGGGUUUAACAGGCAUUUGCCGCAUGAAUGAGCUAAGCGUGCCCCAAAGACAGGAAGACGUGGACGCUCACAGGGAGGUAUACAAACAUCAAUCUUUGGUAAUUUCAUGGGUAUCUCAGAAUAAAGGAAACUAUAAACUAGUCUCUGAUGUCACCUAAGUAACUUCCAACAGUGUUGACAAAUAUUUCCUCAGACGAUACCAGGUGCUCUACAGGAUAAAAAAAAAUUAGACUAUAUCACACGAAAAGCUUAACAAGAAGAGGCUAGACUCUGGGCUUGCUCAGUGCAGGGAUUGGCAAACUAUUGCCUGAAGCCUGUUUUUGUCUGGCUUAGGAGCUGAGAAUGGUUUUUACAUUUGUAAAGUGUUGUUUAAAAAAUAAGAACAUGCAACCAUAUGUGCCCCACGAAGUCUACAGUGUUUACUGUCUGGCCCUUUACAGAAAAAGUUUACUGCUCCCUACACAGAGCAGCACUGUCCAGUAGAGCUUUCUGCAGUGAUGGAAAAGUUGUGUAGCCACAUGUGGCUAUGGUACCACAGCAGACGGCACAGGUAUAAAGUAAAAGAAACGCUCCUGGAGUUGACCAAAGGGGAUGACUUCCGGGGGCUGGAUGGUGACUUCGCAGGGUAGCCAGGGCUUUGCGCUGAGCUUUUACAACACCUAUCCUUGUGUUUCAUCAAUUACUGCAAAAAGGUCAGUCACCGUGUUAUGGAUGACUCUCCUUUACGAUUUUUCAUCUGUAUACUUUAUGUAACAAUAUACAGCACCUGCACUUUGGCAAAGGCGUGGAAAGAAAAUGAGAAAAUACAGUAGUACUAAAUAAUAGCUCACACUUUCACAAAAGGCACUAAUGAAAUAAAAACAGAAGUAGACUUUCAAGUAACUUACUUUUCCAUAUAGAAAGACUCUAGUCGCUCGAAAUUGGCAAAACCUUUAGAUUUCAUGAAAUUCUGGAUGUCUGGAUUGGACUUCCUUAAAAAAACAAUGAUUAGAAUUUCAUUAAGUUUUAACAUGCUCAAUCUUUUUAAAGCAACAUUUUCCCUAACAUUGUACAGAUUUAAAACUGUUAAAGUCUGUAUAGUAAAAUAAGCCUAAAAACUUAAUUAUGAGUUAUCUUAGCAUUCCACUGUGAAUAAUUUUUUCCAAAAGCUGAUUUCCUAUAAAAAUGGCUUUCCCUAACCUCUCACCUCUCUCCUCCAUCUAAGGCUAUUUGCAAAGAGGAAUUUUAUUUGAAAAAUCUCCCCCAUUUAAUGAUUACCCUCUUUCAUGGAAGCUGUUCUUGUGCACUAGCUGGCCUUUUCUAAAAUCUCCAUUUUAAGUUCUCCUUCCUAGAAGCUUUUACUUUGCCGUAUCACCCAUAGGUACAUUCUAUAGAAAGCCACCAUCUCAGGAAUGGGGUUGCCAGCCUUACAGAGGUGUUACCCCAAAUCUUCCCUUUUCACAUGGAGACCUCUACACCUACUUCAAACGCAACAAUUUAAAAGAAGCAGGGGGAGGGGGUAGUUUUAAUGAACUGUCAUACCAGCAAUCAAAUUGUACUUCAUCUCCUCCCAAAUGAAUGAAUUUAUCUGGAAAUACAGUACUAAUUUCUUUGAAGAGGUCAUGCAGGAAGCUGUAAGUUGUAUUUAGGAUAGGGUUUAUCGGUCCAAAAGUCCCAGACGACUGUUUUCCUUGAUAACAUGGAGUUAGGAGGUCUUUCUGACCUGGAAGAAAACAUGAAGAAUCUUUGCUAAAGAAGUACUUCAGUCACAAAGACACGGCUUUUGCACAUGAUUAUACGACUAUGUUUUGUUGAAGUGUUAAGAGAUUUUAUACAGAAUAAGAGAAGCAUGUUUAUUUACUCAGUUACUAUGGUAACGUCUUCCAAAUAAGAAAAGGGAGCAUUGUUUCCUGAGUUCUAUCCCUGUACCGGUUUCCCUUUCUAUCAGCCUCUUCCUGAAAUUUUAUCCGUUUCAAGUAUUAUCUCGAAUAUUAAUGACUCCCAGAUCUUCAGCUUACCCCAGUCCCUUUCCUCACACUUCAAUCUGUAUUUCAAAUUCCCUGCUGAACAGAGUAGGAUAUCCUAGCUUCACUUCAAGUAUGACCUAACAAAAACCAAACUCUCUUCCGCAAACUCCUUUGAUAGUUUCUCCUGAGUUUUGUGUUCUGGUAAAGCCUGCCAACAUCUUGUCUGUAACUCAUCCCUCUCCUCCUGGAGUCAGUCAGUUGCCAGGUUCUGUGGAUUCUAUUUCCAGAAUGUCUCUCAGUUCUGAAUAUUAUUCUCCAUUUUCUUUUUCACCAUUCCGGUCUAGCACCUUCGGUCUCUCUCCCCUUCCAAUCUGUCUCCUGCACGUAGGUUUUCCUGUGGUGUGGCUCCCAUCAUGUCACUCUUCUUGGCUGUAACUUUCACUGGUUUCCCUGUAUCGUGAUGAAGCCCACAUUCCUCACCAAGACCUUCUCUACACUGAACUUUUUUCAGACUGACUGACCACUAUUCUCCAUGUAUACUCUAAAAAUGCUAGGUGCGGUGCUACGUGCUUUACAUUCAAUCUUCAAAAAAGGUUAAUGAUAGCUACUGCUAAUAUUCCCAUUUUUAGAGAUGGGAAACUGAGGAUGAGGUGUUCUAUAACUUGCCCAAGGUCACUCAGUUUAUAAAUCGCAGAAGCAGGAUUCAAACCCAGGCAGUCAAGCCCCCGAGCUAGUUCUUAAUGACCCUGUAGUACCUCCUACUCUCUGCUGCACUGUACUCCAACUAGAUGCCUUUCCUGUUCUUCUGUCUGAAACAGGAACAUACUUUUUGAUUCCUCAAAAAUGAUCCCUUUUAAGUGUCACCUUAUUCACGAAACUGUUUAAUUCAUUUAUCACUGUUCUACUUCAACUCAUUUUUUGUUUUCCUUUAUCCCUUGUGUUUAUACUUUAGGCAAUGCCUGGAUACAGUGACUUGCUCACAACAGACACAAAAUAGUUACUGAAUUACAACUAUCAGUAGUGCUGCCUCUGUGCAAAACCACAAGUAAGAACAAAAUGAGCAAAUACCAAGUCAUAAAGUUAAGAGAUGCAGGACCUCAAAUGUUCACUUUUUAUAACUCAUCAAACAUACUCCUUACCUUUUCCCCAAGACUGCGUAUGUCCAGGGCUAUCAAAUUCUGGCACGAUCCGAAUCCCUCGUAAUCGAGCAUAUCCAAUCACCCUACGGAUAUCGUUUGGUGUAUAAACACCAGACAAAGAAAAGCUUCCCUAUAAAAGCCACAUUUAUUAAAAUUAGAAGGUACAGAGUAGAUUUGAUCGUGGAAAUUGUUUACAGUUCUGUUUGUACUUUGUGAUACUUGAAAAACCUGCCAGCAGAUAUCAAAGUAUCAAAUAGUACCAUAUGAUAUUAGAUGUCUCAUUUAAAUUAUUUGUUUACUGUAUCUUAUCAGUAAGGGGUCAGCACACUUUGGGUUAACUUCAGAUGUGCGGAUAGAACUAUCUCUACGAACACCUUUUGUUUCAGGAAUGUCUACCAUCACUUUUUUUUUUUUUUUAACAUUUUUUACUGAUUUAUAAUCAUUUUACAAUGUUGUGUCAAAUCCCAGUGUAGAGCAUAAUUUUUCAAUUAUACAUUGUUUCAACCUCAUGUAACCAUACAACAAAACAAAUAAAAUGACUCCACCAUGA